GACGAACGCUGGCGGCGUGCUUAACACAUGCAAGUCGAACGGAAAGGCCCUGCUUUUGUGGGGUGCUCGAGUGGCGAACGGGUGAGUAACACGUGAGUAACCUGCCCUUGACUUUGGGAUAACUUCAGGAAACUGGGGCUAAUACCGGAUAGGAGCUCCUGCUGCAUGGUGGGGGUUGGAAAGUUUCGGCGGUUGGGGAUGGACUCGCAGCUUAUCAGCUUGUUGGUGGGGUAGUGGCUUACCAAGGCUUUGACGGGCAGCCGGCCUGAGAGGGUGACCGGCCACAUUGGGACUGAGAUACGGCCCAGACUCCUACGGGAGGCAGCAGUGGGGAAUAUUGCACAAUGGGCGGAAGCCUGAUGCAGCAACGCCGCGUGCGGGAUGACGGCCUUCGGGUUGCAAACCGCUUUCGCCUGUGACGAAGCGUGAGUGACGGUAAUGGGUAAAGAAGCACCGGCUAACUACGUG
rnacentral:rRNA from 1 species